AUUUAACGCUGGCGGCAGGCCUAACACAUGCACGUCGAGCGAGCGGCGGACGGGUGAGUAAUGUCUGGGGAACUGCCCGAUAGAGGGGGAUAACUACUGGAAACGGUAGCUAAUACCGCAUACUAUCGGAUGAACCCAUAUGGGAUUAGCUAGUAGGUGGGGUAAUGGCUCACCUGGGCGACGAUCUCUAGCUGGUCUGAGAGGAUGAUCAGCGACACUGGGACUGAGAAACGGCCCAGACUCCUACGGGAGGCAGCAGUGGGGAAUAUUGCACAAUGGGCGCAAGCCUGAUGCAGCCAUGCCGGGUGUAUGAAGAAGGCCUUAGGGUUGUAAAGUACUUUCAGCGGGGAGGCGUUACCCGCAGAAGAAGCACCGGCUAACUCCGUGCCAGCAGCCGCGGUAAUAC
rnacentral:rRNA from 1 species